UACAGAGGUCCCAAGCGCUACUGAGAAUCACUGGGUUUAAAGGGUGCGUAGGUGGUCCGUUAAGUCAGUUGUGAAAUCCCCGGGCUCAACCCGGGAACUGCUUCUGAUACUGGCGGACUUGAGGCCAGUAGGGGUCACUAGAACUGACGGUGGAGCGGUGAAAUGCGUAGAUAUCGUCAGGAAUGCCGGUGGUGAAGACGGGUGACUGGGCUGGUUCUGACACUGAGGCACGAAGGCGUGGGGAGCGAACGGG
rnacentral:rRNA from 1 species